UGAAUGCACUAGGGGGGCCGCUUGAGGCUGAGAUGAAAGUAGAUAUUGCUUUCGGACCCUUUGUACCUGAUCUGGAUCAUACCAGCGUAGGGAAGUGGUAGCAGAGUUAC
rnacentral:ncRNA from 2 species